rnacentral:sRNA from 1 species
CUUGGUCAUUUAGAGGAAGUAAAAGUCGUAACAAGGUUUCCGUAGGUGAACCUGCGGAAGGAUCAUUAGUGAUAAAACUAUUAUCUUAACACCUGUGAACUGCGAACCGAAAGGUUCUUCCAAACAUUGUGUAAUGAACGUAAUACAUUAUAAACAAUACAACUUUCAACAACGGAUCUCUUGGCUCUCGCAUCGAUGAAGAACGCAGCGAAAUGCGAUAAGUAAUGUGAAUUGCAGAAUUCAGUGAAUCAUCGAAUCUUUGAACGCAACUUGCGCUCUCUGGUAUUCCGGAGAGCAUGCCUGUUUGAGUGUCAUGAUCUCUCAACCAAUAGAGUUUUCUAUUGGCUUGGAUCUGGGUGUUGCGAGCGAUCGCCCACCUUAAAGGAGUUAGCAUAUAGCAUGUCGUUUGGCGUAAUAAGUUUCGCUUAGUAAAUCGACAAGGCUUUGCUUCUAAUCGUCUUUUGACUUUUUUGACUCUGGCCUCAAAUCAGGUAGGACUACCCGCUGAACUUAAGCAUAUCAAUAAGCGGAGGAAAAGAAACUAACAAGGAUUCCCCUAGUAGCGGCGAGUGAAGCGGGAAGAGCUCAAAUUUGUAAUCUGGCGUCUUUCAGGCGUCCGAGUUGUAAUCUAUAGAAGUGUUUUCCGUGCUGGACCAUGUCCAAGUCCCUUGGAACAGGGUAUCAAAGAGGGUGACAAUCCCGUACUUGAUAUGGCUACCAGUGCUCUGUGAUACACUUUCUACGAGUCGAGUUGUUUGGGAAU